GGCAAGCUAGUCAAGUUGGUCACGACACGUGUCUGAAAAACACGGAAUUCAGGUUCGAUUCCUGAGCUUGCCA
rnacentral:tRNA from 1 species